rnacentral:ncRNA from 1 species
CAAAGGUUUGGUCCCAGCCUUUCUAUUAAUUAUAAACAAACUUACACAUGCAAGUAUCUGCACUCCAGUGAGAAUGCCCUAUAAAUCACCCAAUGAUAUAAAGGAGCGGGUAUCAAGCACACCACUAGGUAGCUCACAACACCUUGCUCAACCACACCCCCACGGGAAACAGCAGUGAUAAAAAUUAAGCAAUAAACGAAAGUUUGACUAAGUUAUGCUUAUCUUGGGUUGGUAAAUUUCGUGCCAGCCACCGCGGUCAUACGAUUAACCCCAAUUAAUAGAUCCACGGCGUAAAACGUGUUUAAGAAACCCACAACAAUAAAGCCAAACUUUAGCUGCGCUGUAAAAAGCUACAGCUACUGUAAGUCCUACCACGAAAGUAACUUUAAAUUGUCUGAACACACUAUAGCUAAGACCCAAACUGGGAUUAGAUACCCCACUAUGCUUAGCCCUAAACCUAAAGAAUUUGACAUAACAAAAUUCUUCGCCAGAGUACUACUAGCCAAAGCUUAAAACUCAAAGGACUUGGCGGUGCUUUAUAUCCUUCUAGAGGAGCCUGUUCUAUAAUCGAUAAACCCCGAUAAACCCUACCAAUUCUUGCCAAACCAGCCUAUAUACCGCCAUCUUCAGCAAACCCUAAAAAGGACAUAAAGUAAGCCCAACUACAAUAUGCAAAAACGUUAGGUCAAGGUGUAGCCCAUGAAUUGGAAAGAAAUGGGCUACAUUUCCUACAUAAUAGGACAUUACUAAAACUUACACGAAAGUUCCUGUGAAAUCAAGAACUAAAGGUGGAUUUAGCAGUAAACUAAGAAUAGAGUGCUUAGUUGAAUAAGGCCAUGAAGCACGCACACACCGCCCGUCACCCUCCUCAAAUAUUAAUGGUAUCAACAACCCUAUUAUAAUCAACCAGAACUAUUAGAGGAGAUAAGUCGUAACAAGGUAAGCGUACUGGAAAGUGUGCUUGGAUAACU